rnacentral:rRNA from 1 species
CUUCGGGGCAGUGGCGGACGGCUGAGUAACACGUAGGUAACGUGCCCUUUACUGGGGGAUAACAGAGGGAAACCUCUGCUAAUACCGCAUAAGCCAUUGGCUGAAAUGCUGAUGGUUAAAGAUUCAUCGGUAAAGGAUCGGCCUGCGUCUGAUUAGCUUGUUGGUAGGGUAACGGCCUACCAAGGCAAUGAUCAGUAGUUGGUCUGAGAGGAUGACCAGCCAGAGUGGGACUGAGACACGGCCCACACUUCUACGGAAGGCAGCAGUAGGGAAUUUUGCGCAAUGGGCGAAAGCCUGACGCAGCAACACCGCGUGGAGGAUGAAGGUCUUCGGAUUGUAAACUCCUGUCAGCAGGGAAUAAAACUGACUGUACCUGCAGAGGAAGCACCGGCUAACUACGUGCCAGCAGCCGCGGUAAGACGUAGGGUGCAAGCGUUGUCCGGAAUUAUUGGGCGUAAAGAGUUCGUAGGCGGUUUCUUAAGUCUGGUGUUAAAGCCCGGAGCUCAACUCCGGCAUGGCAUCGGAAACUGGGUGACUAGAGUGUGGCAGAGGUAUCGGGAAUUCCUGGUGUAGCGGUGAAAUGCGUAGAUAUCAGGAGGAACACCGGUGGCGAAAGCGCGAUACUGGGCCAUAACUGACGCUGAGGAACGAAAGCCAGGGGAGCGAAAGGGAUUAGAUACCCCUGUAGUCCUGGCCGUAAACGAUGGAUACUAGGUGUUGGAGGAUUCGACCCCUUCAGUGCCGUAGCUAA